rnacentral:rRNA from 1 species
AGUGAACGCUGGCGGUAGGCCUAACACAUGCAAGUCGAACGGCAGCACAGGAGAGCUUGCUCUCUGGGUGGCGAGUGGCGGACGGGUGAGGAAUACAUCGGAAUCUACUUUUUCGUGGGGGAUAACGUAGGGAAACUUACGCUAAUACCGCAUACGACCUACGGGUGAAAGCAGGGGAUCUUCGGACCUUGCGCGAUUGAAUGAGCCGCUGUCGGAUUAGCUAGUGGGCGGGGUAACGGCCCACCAAGGCGACGAUCCGUAGCUGGUCUGAGAGGAUGAUCAGCCACACUGCAACUGAGACACGGUCCAGACUCCUACGGGAGGCAGCAGUGGGGAAUAUUGGACAAUGGGCGCAAGCCUGAUCCAGCCAUACCGCGUGGGUGAAGAAGGCCUUCGGGUUGUAAAGCCCUUUUGUUGGGAAAGAAAUCCAGCUGGUUAAUACCCGGUUGGGAUGACGGUACCCAAAGAAUAAGCACCGGCUAACUUCGUGCCAGCAGCCGCCGCGG